AUGCAAGUCAGCAACGGGCUAGCAACUAGUGCAGUGGCUGCACGGGUGCGUAACACGUAGGUAAUCAACCCCUUGGUUCGGGAUAACGUUCUGAAAGGAGCGCUAAUACCGGACGUGUCUUCGGGAGCUUCGGCUCCUGUCGAGAAAGACCCGCAAGGGUUGCCGAGGGACGAGCCUGCGGCCCAUCAGCUAGUUGGCGAGGUAAUAGCUCACCAAGGCGAAGACGGGUAGCUGGUCUGAGAGGAUGAUCAGUCACACUGGAACUGAGACACGGUCCAGACUCCUACGGGAGGCAGCAGUGGGGAAUAUUGCGCAAUGGGCGAAAGCCUGACGCAGCCACGCCGCGUGAGCGAUGAAGGCCUUCGGGUCGUAAAGCUCUGUGGGGAGAGACGAAGAAAGCCUGUGAAGAGCAGGCCUUGACGGUAUCUCCUUAGCAAGCACCGGCUAACUCCGUGCCAGCAGCCGCGGUAAUACGGAGGGUGCGAACGUUGCUCGGAAUCAUUGGGCGUAAAGCGCACGUAGGCGGCGGCGUAAGCGGGAUGUGAAAGCCCAGGGCUCAACCCUGGAAGUGCAUCCCGAACUGUGUCGCUUGAAUCUCGGAGGGGGACAGAGAAUUCCCGGUGUAGAGGUGAAAUUCGUAGAUAUCGGGAGGAAUACCAGUG
rnacentral:rRNA from 1 species